AGCUGGGUGGUGCAGUGGGUAGCACUGCGCAUCCUUUAACGCCGUGAGCUGCGCGGGUUCAAAUCCCAUCCCAAGUUA